CGCCACAGCCAUAUCAUCCUGCAGCCCAAGACCGGUUACUCGCUGAAGCUCAGCAGGGCUGAGCCUGGUCAGUACCUGGAUGGGAGACCACUAGGGAACACUAGGUUGCUGUUGGAG
rnacentral:rRNA from 1 species